CUACAGCUCGUGUGUGCAGACGGCGAACCACGGUCCUUUGCAGAGGCCGAGAGAGACGCGGCAUGGCGCGCCACGAUGAAGUUGGAGAUGGAUGCGGUCGAGCAAAACCGCACCUGGGAGCUUGCUGAUCUCCCUCGAGGUCACCGCGCAAUCACCCUUAAGUGGGUGUUCAAGCUGAAGAGGGAUGGAGCCGGCGCCAUCAUCAAGCACAAGGCUCGUUUGGUGGCCCGAGGCUUCUUGCAGCAGGAAGGAGUCGACUUCGACGACGCUUUCGCUCCCGUGGCACGGAUGGAGUCCGUGCGACUUCUCCUUGCGCUGGCUGCCCAGGAGGGCUAG
rnacentral:rRNA from 1 species